AACGUAGGUCACAAGCGUUGUCCGGAAUUACUGGGUGUAAAGGGAGCGCAGGCGGGAAGGCAAGUUGGAAGUGAAAUCUAUGGGCUCAACCCAUAAACUGCUUUCAAAACUGUUUUUCUUGAGUAGUGCAGAGGUAGGCGGAAUUCCCGGUGUAGCGGUGAAAUGCGUAGAGAUGGGGAGGAACACCAGUGGCGAAGGCGGCCUGCUGGGCUUUAACUGACGCUGAGGCACGAAGGCGUGGGUAGCAAACAGG
rnacentral:rRNA from 1 species